rnacentral:rRNA from 1 species
AUGACUAGGGAUAACCUUAGGAAGAGACACAUCAUCAAACCCCUUGAUUGUGUUUACUGCUUGGAACAAGAGUCUUGUUCUCACCUAUUUUUUGAAUGUAUAGUUGCUAAACAUCUCUGGGCCCACAUUGAGGAAUAUUUCUCUAGUCAGAUUGGCUCAUCCUUUGAAUCUGUCACCAGAUUCUGGAUUGCUACCAAAAAGUGCUCAGUUUUAAACAUUGUUAGCUCAGCUGUCCUUUGGUGCCUCUGGAAAUAUAGAAAUGCUAUGAUUUUCAGUAACACCUCCUGGAUUUCCAUUCCGCGGGUCUUGAGGUUGAUCAGGAACAUGGUGAGGAACUGGGCGAUUCUCUCCUCCGGAUCGGACAAGGACAAGUUGAUGAGCUUCGUGGAAACCCUAACAAGAUCCAUCCAGAAACCAUUGGCGAUCACUUGUGGCUGA